UCUCCUCUUUUCAUCUUCAAUUCGUGUGUGUAACUCCACAGGACUACCACGAGCUAAAUAGGAUCUGAAACGCCCAUCUCUCGUUACACUUGUAGGCUUGUAGCGAUCGUAUACGCUUUUGUAAAUGAAAUAGGGAAAGUCAUUUGACCAAACCUCCGAAGUAAUCGAUGAAUCUUGUCUACUAAACUAGAUUAAUAUAAAUAGUUUUUUUUACAUAAUCAGAUAUAUUUGAUAUAAUCAUGUUACAAAUGAAAUCUAAUUAGACAAUAACUAUGUCCUCCGUAACCCUUGUAUCG